rnacentral:rRNA from 1 species
UACGUAGGGUGCAAGCGUUAUCCGGAAUUAUUGGGCGUAAAGAGCUCGUAGGCGGUUUGUUGCGUCGGCUGUGAAAUCCCGAGGCUCAACCUCGGGUCUGCAGUCGAUACGAGCAAACUAGAGUGUUGCAGGGGAGACUGGAAUUCCUGGUGUAGCGGUGAAAUGCGCAGAUAUCAGGAGGAACACCGGCGGCGAAGGCGGGUCUCUGGGCAACAACUGACGCUGGAGGAGCGAAAGCGUGGGGAGCGAACAGG